GACAGAGGAGCCAAGCGUUGUUCGGAAUCAUUGGGCUUAAAGGGCGUGUAGGCGGCGGCGUAAGUGUCGAGUGAAAUCCCAUCGCUCAACGAUGGAACGGCUCGGCAAACUGCGUCGCUUGAGGUCGGUAGAGGUGCCUGGAACUCUAGGUGGAGCGGUGAAAUGCGUAGAUAUCUAGAGGAACGCCAGAGGCGAAGGCGGGUCUCUGGGCAAUUCCUGACGCUGAGGCGCGAAAGCGUGGGGAGCAAACGGG
rnacentral:rRNA from 1 species